rnacentral:lncRNA from 1 species
GACACAGAGGGAAAAAAAAUUAAUAGAUGUAUUGCUCUAUGGUACUGAAGCUGUGUAACUGUGCUUUGUACCCACUGUAAUACAAAUGUAAUUGUUUAAGCUGUGUAACAUUAAUGGUUUGCUUCCAUGGUAACUUUUUCUCUAAAAAGGCUUAGAAGGAGCACUGAAAGUCUGAUUGCAAUAAGACUGUAAACAAUAGAGAACAUUCUUUUCUAAUAUAAUUUUAACUAUAAGGAAGAAAGCUAGCUGCCUGACAAACCUGUCUAAUCUGUGUGUGUAUCUAAUGUCACCCUUUGUCUCUGUUAAGACAUGAACUAUUUUUCUUUAUGUGGGAAGCUGAGUAUGGGGUGCUUACUAAGAAGAGCAAUCGAGGUGUUUGCAAGGCUUUCCUGGGUCUAACUUUUAGUUUUCAUACUGUGGUUUGAAACCUGUGAAGAUCAUGAUCAUUCUUUGGGGGAAAAAUAGAAAAAAAAAAAACAAAACAACCAAACAACUAUUUGAAUUUAUUCAUAUGCAUUUACAACAGAGUGCAUAUAUGGUAUAGAAGCAUAUAAAAUGGCAAUAUUUACUAUUCAUCUAUGCUGAAUCGCCUAAAGCCAUUUCUUUUUUCUUAACACUCUUUGAGCUUUGAAUACAGUUGAUGCGUUGGUCUAUAAAUACUAAUAAACCUGACUGUGCCGGGGGUCUUGAGGUUCAUUCUUAUAAGCCAGUUUUCCAUGGCUGAUGUUAGAUUUAUGGGUUUAAAAUUCUUGAGCUUAUGAAUCUUGCAGUUUUUGGGUGCAGAAAGGACCUAUUCAACACGCUAUUUUCCCUUUAAGGAUUGCAAAGUUAAAUUAUUAAUCUACCAAGUGCAAAUGUUAAUAAUAUUCAAAGCUUGUUUGUUUUGACUAUAACUCUGAUUAUAUGCAAUCAUACUUGCAUUCUCUCUUAUCUGGCUAACUUUAAGAUAUUUCCAAAUUAUAAAUAAAUUCUUCAAUUAAAAAGAGUGACGUUGAAGCCUUGAAUACAGUUAAUAACCAAAGCAAGGAGAAAGUGAGUUUUUUCUUGGGUUAUUUUGGGUUUUUUUUUUUCUUUUUGGAGUUGGGGGGUGAGGUGGAUGGUAUAGUUUAAAUGGUACUGCUUGAAUUGAGGCUUUUUUUCAGGUUCUUUGCUAGUUUUAUUGCUAAAAUGCACUUUUGUAUAGAGAACUGUUUUAUGUACAUUCUGUAUCUACUUUCCACAAUGUUGAUAGAGAUUUUUCUGAAGUUGUGAAGGAUUUACUAACUGCCAUGCUGAUGACUGAUGCUGUUUACUUCAAGUUUUUGUUGUAUUUGAAAAUAGUCACGUGCAUAUUGGAAUACAGGUUGGAAUUAAAACUGACGUAGCAAAGUUAUUAAACUAUGUGAUAUCUUGUUCAGAACAGGGUUAUUCAUACAUCGGGCUUAUAUAUUCGCUGUUCAUGAAGAAAGAAGUAAAAUGUAGCAUGUGAACUCUUUCUUUGACAGAAGACCAACCAGUCCCUCCCUAACUAAUGUACUUUGACCAUAAAACCUGAUCAGAAUCCUUUCUUAGGGGAAAAAAAAAAAAAUUACACAUUAUAUAACCCAAGAUUUUGUAUUGAAAACUGUCUCUUUUGUUGCUGAUUUCUGUGCCAGAGGCUUUUUGAAAUAUAUACUGCAUGCUAUAUAGCUGUGGGCCUGGAUGUAGGAAACCUGAUCUCUUCUGUUGCCAGCAAUAACUGGAUUUUCUUCUGCUGUCACCCUCACUAUCUGUAGUCAUCAAGCUAUCAACUAUCCUGUAAUAUUUAAAAUCCCUAAUGAGACUUUCUUAUAAACUCAGAGCCUGUUGUGCUCUUAAAGGCAUACGUGUGAUGAAUACGUGUCUGUAUUGUAAAUCAGUUCUCAUUUGCUACAGUGAAGCAGGUAUGAUAGAGAUUCCAGAAACUGGAGAUGCUCACCAGGCUGUGCAGCAGCAGACAGGACAUGGUGGUGGCUUUGCAAUAAGCAGUGUUUGAGUAGGCUACAGUGAGGAUGCUCUUGCCAACUUGUAUGUUCUGUGCUGUCUUUGAAAUUCCUUUCAAAUUCUCUGUCUCUGCAACCUUGGUGUUUCAUGUGUCGUAUUAUGAAAAUUGCUCUUCUU